GAUAUUCAGCGGGGGCUGUUGGAGGACAGAACCGGGGGAUGGCCUAACGCCCCGGGCCUGGGGCUCUGCAGGGCUGUGUAUCUGCCUUGGUUACAGGGUGUCCUGAGAAUCAAAGGACCGUGUGUGGAAAAUGUUUGGCAGAGUCCUUGGACCAAAGCGCAGCCAGAAAUAGACAACAACGUUGAUGGUGUAGAGGAGGGGAGUCAGAGAAGAGUGAAACAGCAAAGAUGGCGGAUUUUGGAAUGGUGAACAUCAUUCCUCAAUGAUGUAAGUGAAUCCUUGCAGAAUAGAUAAUAUUUUUCAAAUUCUGAGAGAAUAUUUCCUCAAAAUUUUGUGUUAUUGACACUGUAACAGCUACAGACAACACAAUUCUGCAUUAUUAGCAUUUUCUCUUUCAUUUUUUUAAGUCUAAAUAAUAAACAAAACGAUAAAUCAAGACCUUAUUUUGCAUUUGCCGAUUUCUGUGGUGUAAAUCCUUCCAUCACAGCUGAUUUCUUGCUCCCACUGUAACAUCACUGAAUGUGGAGCUGGGAAGAUAUGCAGAGUAUCUCACCAUUACACAGCAUUUCCACCGUAAACAUACGAUGGACAAAAAUAACCUUAAGAAAAUAGACGAUGAUAAAAUAAUCAGAAGUGGUAAGUUUUGAGUAUUGCCUUUGUUUUAAUAUAAUUUGUUUAAUUGUAAGUUGAUAUAAUUUAACUUUAAAUAAUGACUGUCCUUAACGAAGUCUCCCAAAAUUCCUGAAAAUUGAAAAAUUGGCUCCCAUGAGCACAUCACUGCUGU